GACGAACGCUGGCGGCGUGCUUAACACAUGCAAGUCGAGCGGUAAGGGCCCUUUUUCGGGGGUACACGAGCGGCGAACGGGUGAGUAACACGUGGGUGACCUGCCCUCAGCUCUGGGAUAAGCCUGGGAAACUGGGUCUAAUACUGGAUAUGACUCCACGGUGCAUGUCGUGGGGUGGAAAGCCUUGUGCGGCUGAGGAUGGGCCCGCGGCCUAUCAGCUUGUUGGNGGGGUAAUGGCCUACCAAGGCGACGACGGGUAGCCGGCCUGAGAGGGCGACCGGCCACACUGGGACUGAGACACGGCCCAGA
rnacentral:rRNA from 1 species